rnacentral:rRNA from 1 species
UACGUAGGGGGCGAGCGUUGUCCGAAGUUACUGGGCGUAAAGCGCACGUAGGCGGCUUUGCAAGUCCCAUGUGAAAGCCCACGGCUUAACCGUGGAAGUGCAUGGGAAACUGCAGAGCUUGAGUACUUAAGAGGAUCGCGGAAUUCCCGGUGUAGAGGUGAAAUUCGUAGAUAUCGGGAGGAACACCAGUGGCGAAGGCGGCGAUCUGGGAAGAUACUGACGCUGAGGUGCGAAAGCGUGGGGAGCAAACAGG